AGCGGCGAACGGGUGAGGAACACGUGAGAAAUCUGCCUUCAACACUGGGAUAACUCCGGGAAACCGGGGCUAAUACCGGAUAUGAGCCUUGAUCGCAUGAUCGGGGCUGGAAAGUUUUUCGGUUAGGGAUGGGCUCGCGGCCUAUCAGCUUGUUGGUGAGGUAAAGGCUCACCAAGGCGACGACGGGUAGCCGGCCUGAGAGGGCGACCGGCCACACUGGGACUGAGACACGGCCCAGACUCC
rnacentral:rRNA from 1 species